rnacentral:tRNA from 1 species
UUCCUGGUGGUCCAGUAGCUAAGACUCUGCACUCCCAAUGCAUGGGUCUGGAUUUGAUCCCCAGUCAGGGAA